UAGAGUUUGAUCAUGGCUCAGGAUGAACGCUGGCGGCGUGCCUAAUACAUGCAAGUCGAGCGGUAAGGCCCUUCGGGGUACACGAGCGGCGGACGGCUGAGUAACACGUAGGAACGUACCCCAAACUGAGGGAUAAGCACCAGAAAUGGUGUCUAAUACCGCAUGUGGCCUUCGGGCUAAAGCUCCGGCGGUUUGGGAACGGCCUGCGUCCGAUUAGCUAGUUGGCGGGGUAAAUGCCCACCAAGGCGACGAUCUGUAGCUGGUCUGAGAGGACGACCAGCCACACUGGGACUGAGACACGGCCCAGACUCCUACGGGAGGCAGCAGUGGGGAAUUUUGGACAAUGGGCGCAAGCCUGAUCCAGCAAUGCCGCGUGUGUGAAGAAGGCCUUCGGGUUGUAAAGCACUUUUGUCCGGAAAGAAAACCCCGGUCCUAAUACGGCGGGGGGAUGACGGUACCGGAAGAAUAAGCACCGGCUAACUACGUGCCAGCAGCCGCGGUAGCCCA
rnacentral:rRNA from 1 species